CUUUAAAUGUAAAUGGAUUAAAUGCCCCAAAUCAAAACACAUAGGGCAGCUGAUUGGAUAAGAAAACAAGACCCAUAUAUCUGUUGUCUACAAGAAACCCACCUCAGAAAAAAAGAUGCACACAGACUGAGGGUGAAGGGAUAGA